rnacentral:rRNA from 1 species
AAACUUUCAACAACGGAUCUCUUGGCUCUGGCAUCGAUGAAGAACGCAGCGAAAUGCGAUAAGUAAUGUGAAUUGCAGAAUUCAGUGAAUCAUCGAAUCUUUGAACGCACAUUGCGCCCUCUGGUAUUCCGGGGGGCAUGCCUGUUCGAGCGUCAU